rnacentral:tRNA from 1 species
GAGGGUAUAGCUCAGUGGUAGAGCACAUGCUUAGCAUGCAUGAUGAGGUCCUAGGUUCAAUCCCCAGUACCUCCA